AGUGAACGCUGGCGGUAGGCCUAACACAUGCAAGUCGAACGGCAGCACAGUAAGAGCUUGCUCUUACGGGUGGCGAGUGGCGGACGGGUGAGGAAUACAUCGGAAUCUACUUUUUCGUGGGGGAUAACGUAGGGAAACUUACGCUAAUACCGCAUACGACCUACGGGUGAAAGCAGGGGAUCUUCGGACCUUGCGCGAUUGAAUGAGCCGAUGUCGGAUUAGCUAGUUGGCCGGGUAAAGGCCCACCAAGGCGACGAUCCGUAGCUGGUCUGAGAGGAUGAUCAGCCACACUGGAACUGAGACACGGUCCAGACUCCUACGGGAGGCAGCAGUGGGGAAUAUUGGACAAUGGGCGCAAGCCUGAUCCAGCCAUACCGCGUGGGUGAAGAAGGCCUUCGGGUUGUAAAGCCCUUUUGUUGGGAAAGAAAAGCAGCAGGUUAAUACCCCGCUGCUCUGACGGUACCCAAAGAAUAAGCACCGGCUAACUUCGUG
rnacentral:rRNA from 1 species